AUGCAGAGGCUCUCGCAGGUGGCGCUCCGCCGCCUCCUGUCGCCGCCGUCGGCCGCGGCAGCCGCUCGCCGGGCAGCGCCGGUGGCCGCGGAGGCAUGUUCCAGCGGAGCAGUCCCCAUCCUACGCCACGCCGGUGGCUCCGAGGUCGCGGCGGGCGGUUGGAAUGGCGGAUCUGGGAUCCGCUUGUGCCGCAGGCUCUGCACCUACAACGAGAGAGAUGACAGGGCACUUGAGGAGGAAGUUGAGAAGAAAUUUGGAUGGAUAUUAAAGAUAUUCUUCAUAGGAACUGCUGGCCUUGUUGGUUGGCAGUUCUUUCCCUACAUGGGGGAUAACCUACUACAGCAAUCCAUUACGCUUUUACAUGUCAAAGAUCCCUUGUUCAAGCGGAUGGGGGCUUCCCGAUUAGCUCGUUUUGCCGUUGAUGAUGAAAGGAGAAUGAAGGUGGUAGAGAUGGGGGGAGCUCAAGAAAUUCUCAAUGUGUUAGAAGGUGCUAAAGAUGACAAAACACGCAAAGAAGCUCUGAAAGCUCUUGUGGCACUUGCAAAGUCGGAUAAAGCUGCGGGGUUUUUGGACAAGGCAGGUGCCUACGCCAUCGUCGCCUCCACUCCGAAUUCCCCCGAAUAUGCCGAGAUUGAGGCCUGCAAGACUAGUCUUCUCAAGACGUUUGAUCAACUGAAGUCGUGA
rnacentral:rRNA from 1 species